GGAUGUGAGGGCGAUCUGGCUGAGACAUCUGUCAUCCCAUUGAUCGCCAGGGUUGAUUCGGCUGAUCUGGCUGGCUAGGCGGGUUUCCCCUUCCUCCCUCACUGCUCCAUGUGUGUCUCUCCUGAAGCUGCGUGCUGGGUCGAAGAGGACGGCCUUCCCUGAGUAGAGAUGGACUGGUCUUCGAGGGUAUAAGAGUAGCUGCGCUCCCCUACUAGAACCUCCAAACAAGCUCUCAAGGUCCUUCUCUGUUUCCUCAGUGAUAUAGAGACAUAAAACGACUGGAGCAUGAACCAUAGAAACAGCACAUUGGCAGUACAUUUAGAUGCUUGGUUUCUGUCU
rnacentral:snRNA from 1 species